CAGGAAACGUCUAAAACGAGUAGCCCGGGACCAAGUGCCGUAACUCACCAGCAGGACGAAACAAAGCCAGCAGAAGCCUCCCCAGCACACGCACGCACAGACACACGCACACACACCAAGUUUCAGCCAGCAAAUCUCUUUAUCCCAUGGCUGAGCAUCGACAGCGGAAAAGUCCUGCUGCCAUCGUCAUCCCCGGCUGAGGUGCGAUGCAGAUCCCAACUGGAAAAGACCUGUGCCCCCUGGACAUGUGUGAAGAAAAUACUCGUCUCGCGGGGAUCGCGAGUAACUGAUGUCCUAACACCUGAGGCGGAACUUCCUCUUGCACCCACACAAAGGUUGGAUUUUGUGUGCAAACCACUGCCUGGAAAGUCAAAUCUCCCUUUCAAAGGUUCCUCUGUAUCACAUCUGCAUGCAAGAAAGGGUCACUGCUGCUGUUCACUUUCCAAGGCCACAUUGUAUCAGGCAAACAGCUUUCAUCCAAAAGAUUCAUCAGGUAAACAGCCUGUGUUUAAACUGUGGGAUUGAAGAACAGAGAUGAAAAGAAAGGCUGCUUUCACACUUGCUGCAGGGAAGAGUGUCCGAUGUGGGCUUUGUAUCUGCGUCCAAGACAAUGGUGCUUCUGUGCAUCUUCUACAAGUCAUGUUAUAGAACAAUUUUACUUCAGAUCACCGAUGUCUAUGUGAAGAGGAAACUAACCUGCAGGGCUUUAAAAUCUAUUCCUCUUCAACAAAUAGCAACACUAACAGAUAGAGAUCCAAAUGACCCAUGUUCUGAUUCUGUUUGCUCAGAAAUUCUGAUAUUUCUAUGAUGCUGUAUUGAGAUAAACUAUAUCCAGGAUCACUUCAUCGGUAAUUUUUUUAGUAACACUAAAAACCUGCUGGUAUGGAUUUGAUUUCUGAGGGAAACUGUUUAUUCUCUGCUAAGGAAACCGAUGAGGUAUCAGGUUUUCUGUCUGAUAUCACUGUCUCUUCCAAGACAGGAAAAAAAAUAGUCCGUUCAUUA